GCUCCCUUCGGGGACAUCCGAUAAAAUUGGAAUGAUACAAAGAAAGAUUAGCAUGGCCUAUCUGCGAGGAUGAUAAGCACAAAUCAAAAAAUGGUUCAAAUUUAA